AAGUUUACCUGGACGGGGUGAACUGUUGGUGAAGAAGAAGCCAUGGCCUAGUGUUGGUGACCUCCAUCGCACGUUGGGAGGUGUGCCCGCCUAAGGUCUGUCCCAAGGGGCACAGAGAGGCUGCGUCAUAAUUUGUGGUAGUGGGGGCCUCCUCUA